UAAAAAGCUCGUAGUUGGAUUUCUGUUGAGGAUGGCCGGUCCAUACCACGUAUGCGCAUCUGGUUUUUCAUCCUCGGCAUCCUCUCGCAAUACUACUCUGUGCUUGAUUGCAUGGAUAGGAGUGCGGGACUUUUACUUUGAGGAAAUUAGAGUGUUCACGGCAGGCUAUCGCCCGAAUACGUUAGCAUGGAAUAAUGAUAUAGGGUCUCGAUUCUAUUUUGUUGGUUUCUAGGAUUGGGAUAAUGAUUAAUAGGGACAAUUGGGGGCAUUCGUAUCAAUGCGUCAGAGGUGGAAUUCUUGGAUUGCAUUGCGACGAACUACUGCGAAAGCAUUUGCCAAAGAUGUUUUCAUUGAUCAAGAACGAAAGUAAGGGGAUCGAAGAUGAUUAGAUACCGUCGUAGUCUUUACCACAAACUAUGCCGACUAGAGAUGGGACAUCGUUCAUUUACGACUUGUUCCGCACCUUAUGAGAUAUCAAAGUUUUUGGGUUCCGGGGGGAGUAUGAUCGCAAGAUUGGAACUUAAAGGAAUUGACGGAAGGGCACCACCAGGAGUGGAGCCUGCGGCUUAAUUUGACUCAACACGGGAAAACUCACCAGGUCCAGACAUAAUAAGGAUUGACAGAUUGAUAGCUCUUUCUUGAUUUUAUGGGUGGUGGUGCAUGGCCGUUCUUAGUUCGUGGAGUGAUUUGUCUGGGUAAUUCCGUUAACGAACGAGACCUUAACC
rnacentral:rRNA from 1 species